rnacentral:rRNA from 1 species
UCAAGAAGAGAAGCGCAAACGGUGGAUGCCUAGGCAGUAAGAGGCGAAGAAGGACGUGGAAUCCUGCGAAAAGCUCUGGGGAGUUGGAAACAAGCGUUAAUCCAGAGAUGUCCGAAUGGGGGAACCCGGCACUAGUGAUAGUGUCACUAUUACAUGAAUACAUAGUGUAAUAGGGCGAACUUGGGGAACUGAAACAUCUAAGUACCCAAAGGAAAAGAAAUCAAUUGAGAUUCUCUUAGUAGCGGCGAGCGAACGGGGAAGAGCCUGGUGUGAUUUAUGUUGUAGAGGAGUAGAAGCAUCUGGGAAGGUGCACCGUAGGGGGUAAUAGUCCCGUAUACGCAGGCUACGACAGGAACUAAGCACACGAACAAGUAGGUCGGGACACGUGAAAUCCUGAUUGAAGAUGGGUGGCCCAUCAUCCAAGGCUAAAUACUCCUUACUGACCGAUAGCGAACCAGUACCGUGAGGGAAAGGUGAAAAGAACCCCGGAGAGGGGAGUGAAAUAGAACCUGAAACCGUUUGCGUACAAGCAGUGGGAGCCAGAAUUCACUUUAAAUUCUACUUGGUUGGCCGCUGUGAGGAGAUUUUUUGCGCUCCGAUGCUCACAUACUGAUGUAUGCUGCGCUUCGGUGCUCAAAAAUCUCCCCACAUCGACACAACCAAGCGAAUUGAAAGCGAAUUCUCUGUUAAGUGGAAUUUGAUGUGAAUUCUGGUGACUGCGUACCUUUUGUAUAAUGGGUCAGCGAGUUACUUUCAGUGGCGAGGUUAACUGAAUAAGGAAGCCGUAGAGAAAUCGAGUCUGAAAAGGGCGCGAGUCGCUGGGAGUAGACCCGAAACCGGGCGAUCUAGCCAUGUCCAGGAUGAAGGUUGGGUAACACCAACUGGAGGUCCGAACCGGGUAAUGUUGAAAAAUUAUCGGAUGAGGUGUGGCUAGGAGUGAAAGGCUAAUCAAGCUCGGAGAUAGCUGGUUCUCCCCGAAAGCUAUUUAGGUAGCGCCUCGUGAAUGAUUACUGGGGGUAGAGCACUGUUUCGGCUAGGGGGCUGUCAUGGCUUACCAAACCGAUGCAAACUCCGAAUACCGGCUAAUUGAAUCACGGGAGACACACGGCGGGUGCUAACGUCCGUCGUGAAGAGGGAAACAACCCAGACCGCCAGCUAAGGUCCCGAAGUACUAGUUAAGUGGGAAACGAUGUGGGAAGGCAUAGACAGCCAGGAGGUUGGCUUAGAAGCAGCCACCCUUUAAAGAAAGCGUAAUAGCUCACUGGUCGAGUCGGCCUGCGCGGAAGAUGUAACGGGGCUAAAACUAGUCACCGAAGCUGCGGAUGUGUGCGAGUCACACGUGGUAGGGGAGCGUUCUGUAGGUCUGCGAAGGUGCAUUGAGAAGUGUGCUGGAGAUAUCAGAAGUGCGAAUGCUGACAUGAGUAACGAUAAAGAAGGUGAAAAACCUUCUCGCCGGAAGUCUAAGGUUUCCUGCACGACGUUAAUCGGAGCAGGGUGAGUCGGUCCCUAAGGCGAGGCUGAAGAGCGUAGUCGAUGGGAACCAGGUUAAUAUUCCUGGACUUUCUAUAAGUGCGAAGGGGGGACGGAGAAGGCUAGAUGAGCCAGGCGAUGGUAGUCCUGGUGCUUGCAUGUAGGUGGGUAGACCAGGCAAAUCCGGUUUACUAAUAACACUGAGGUGCGAAGCGGUUCUGACCCUACGGGGUGCGGAGAAGUCAUUAAUGCCCGGCUUCCAGGAAAAGCCUCUAAGCGACAGCUUAUAGAGAACCGUACCGUAAACCGACACAGGUGGACAAGUAGAGAAUACUAAGGCGCAUGAGAGAACUCGGGUGAAGGAACUAGGCAAAAUGGUACCGUAACUUCGGGAGAAGGUACGCCCUUGUUGGUGAGAUACUUGCGUAUGGAGCUGAUGAGGGCCGCAGAGACCAGGUGGCUGCGACUGUUUAUUAAAAACACAGCACUCUGCAAAUUCGUAAGAAGACGUAUAGGGUGUGACGCCUGCCCGGUGCCGGAAGGUUAAUUGAUGGGGUUAUCUGACCACCAUAUUUGUUGCGAAUGACGCAAGUCAGCGAAGCGAAAAAUAGGGUGCGGUCAAAAAAGGCUGACCAACCAGAUUUUUUGCUAAUCGAGACGAGCGACGAUGAGCUGAAGGAACAUACAUCAGUAUGUGACUGAAGCGAAGAGGAAGCUCGACGAAGAGUAGCGAAGAAUAUGGUGGUCAGAGAAGCUCCUGAUCGAAGCCCCGGUAAACGGCGGCCGUAACUAUAACGGUCCUAAGGUAGCGAAAUUCCUUGUCGGGUAAGUUCCGACCUGCACGAAUGGCGUAACGAUGGCCACACUGUCUCCACCCGAGACUCAGUGAAAUUGAAAUUGCGGUGAAGAUGCCGUAUACCCGCGGCUAGACGGAAAGACCCCGUGAACCUUUACUACAGCUUUGCACGGGACUUUGACAAUAACUGUGUAGGAUAGGUGGGAGGCUAAGAAGUCAGGACGCUAGUUCUGAUGGAGCCGACCUUGAAAUACCACCCUGUUGUUGUUGAGGUUCUAACUUGGACCAGUAAUCCUGGUUGAGGACAGUGUAUGGUGGGUAGUUUGACUGGGGCGGUCUCCUCCCAAAGAGUAACGGAGGAGCACAAAGGUACCCUCGGUACGGUCGGACAUCGUACCAAGAGUGUAAAGGCAAAAGGGUGCUUGACUGCGAGAGUGACGGCUCGAGCAGGUACGAAAGUAGGUCUUAGUGAUCCGGUGGUUCUGAAUGGAAGGGCCAUCGCUCAACGGAUAAAAGGUACUCCGGGGAUAACAGGCUGAUACCGCCCAAGAGUUCAUAUCGACGGCGGUGUUUGGCACCUCGAUGUCGGCUCAUCACAUCCUGGGGCUGUAGCAGGUCCCAAGGGUAUGGCUGUUCGCCAUUUAAAGUGGUACGCGAGCUGGGUUUAGAACGUCGUGAGACAGUUCGGUCCCUAUCUGCCGUGGGCGUAGGAAAAUUGAGAGGAGCUGCUCCUAGUACGAGAGGACCGGAGUGGACGAACCUCUGGUGUACCGGUUGUGACGCCAGUUGCAUUGCCGGGUAGCUAAGUUCGGACGGGAUAACCGCUGAAAGCAUCUAAGCGGGAAGCCUCCCUCGAGAUGAGUUUUCCCAUGAAGCCCGUUGAAGACGACGACGUUGAUAGGCGAGGUGUGGAAGCGCAGUAAUGUGUGAAGCUAACUCGUACUAAUUGGCUGAUUGUCUUGACCAU